GCCUCUUCUUUAGCUCUGAAAGAGGAAGUGGGACGCCUAUGGGGAAGCCCACCUAUCGGGGUCAGUCACGUGGUCAGAGGUGAGCAUCUGCCGGGUUCCCUGCCCCCACCCCAAGUGAAGUCCUGGUUGGGGGUUGGGGGGGCGGCGGUCAGGGGGCUCCCCGGGCUCCCUCUGCAGAAGGCGGUCCUUUCAGUCGACCUGGUUCCCCACCUGCAUGUGGAACAUCUCCUGCAGGGCACCCCCCACCCGCGCCCAACACCAGGGGCUCCUAGUCUGAAAGAAGCAGGGAAAAGAAGGCAGCUCUGGGGCAUCUGGGAACAAGGGGUCAGUGUCUCCUUUGUCCUAAUAAGGACGGGACAGAGCAAGUCCAUCCGCAGCUCCCCGUCAGCAUCCCAGGUCCCCAAACCCCAGUCACUCCGGCCUCUCUCGGGCUCUCAUUUUCCAUCCGCGGAGCAGUAGAAAGCCUCAAGAAUUCCCUUUCAUUUCACUCCAUUAAUAACUAAGCGCGGGGCCUGAAAUAUUUAUGGCCUGAGCGCAGAGCCUGCUUGGGGCAGGACGAGGCAGAUGGCGGCAAUUUGUAAGCCUGCUGGCCGGCCCCUCUCAGAAGGGACACCUAGAUGGCUUUGGUGACCCGGGCAGCCUCGAGCUGUGUGCCACCUGGGGUGCCCCGGAACUGAGGCGGGGCCGUGUUUGCAACUGGCAGGAGCCCCGCCUUCUCUGCGCUUCUGCUCUGUUACACAGCAACGGGGCCACGGAGACCUCACAGCGUAUGGCAAAAUUAAUGCAAGAUGGUUCACAAAUCUCGAUAUAAAAUAUAAAGCUUUUAGACACAAGAGAAAAUUUUCUGGAGUUAGAGAAGAUGUUCUUAGCCAUGAUAACUAAAAGCAUGAUCCAUAUAAAAAAAAGUGAUAAAUUGGACUUCAUCAAAAUUUAAAAUUUUUGCUCUGCCAAAGAUCUUGUUAAAGAGAAUUCAACGAUGAGCUGCCGACUAGAAUAAAAUAUCUGCACCUGCCCUACAGGUAGCUAAAGGGGGCCGCCGAAAUACAGUUCUAGCCAUUGCAGUAAUAAGUCUGGGUGGUUCUGGCAAAGAUUCCAUCUCUCUGAUAGAAGGGCGAUGUUCGAGUUCCCGUCGUGGCUCAGUGGUUAAUGAACCCAACCAGUAGCCACGAGGACAUGGGUUCAAUCCCUGGCCUUGCUCAGCGGGUUAAGGAUGCAAUGUUGCCGUGAGCUGUGGUGUACGUUGCAGACGCAUCUCAGAUCCCCCGUCGCUGUGGCUGUGGCGUGGGCUGGCGGCUACAGCUCUGAUUUGACCCCUAGCCUGGGAACUUCCAUAUCCGCAGGUGUGCCUCUAAAAAGACAAAAAUAAAAUAAAAUAAAAUAAAAAUCUAUAUGAGAGUCACAGAAAUUCAGAUUCAACACUCUGACAUGUUUGAGAUGCUGACCCAGCACCAUGGCUGCCUCCUUCCAGACUGUUGUUGUGUGAGGUUAUUUCAAAUGCAUUUGUUACUUAAUCACUAUUAUCUGAUCCUCUGUUACUCUGGGGUGCCGGCGUCCUAAGUGAUACAGAAACAGGGCUACUCCUUUCUCUGGCUCCUCCUCACAGGCUAUCCCAGAUAAGAAUUCAGGGUGCACUUCCUCUGUCGGGGGCUCUGGAAACAAGGAGGGGGUGGUACCAUUCACGCCUGGCCCUCCUGUGCCCGGUGGGUGCAGGCCCAUGCAGUCUGUAGGUUUGCAUCUUUGCAACCCCUUGUCCUCAACCCUGGCUAAGCCGAGCAAAAAUAGAGCUUUCUUGGAAAGAUACCAGGGCAGUUCAUACCAUGAAAGGAUGUGCACAGCAAUAAAUUCUUGGCAAACACAGGAGGCAGAGCUCCGGGAAACUCAGCAGUGGGAAUCCACAGACCUUCUCUCUAGGAUGCUGCCAUAUAAUGACUCCUGCUACCUCCUUCCAUCCAUUUGUGCCUUGGUUCAACUUUCGGGUUCCCAGGAGGGAGGAUCCAAUUGGUAGAGGUUGGUCGGGUACUCACCCUUUGGAAAAUUCAGUAUGGCCAGGAGCUGGGAGGGUUUGUUGGUCAAGCCUCACUUACUACCUGUUGCCAUCACCAGGGAUGGGCCUCAAGACCCCAAGGAGUGGGGUCUGCCUUUAGGAGAGCUUGGAGGGAGAGAUGCCAGCAAAGAAAAGCCAGAGCUGCAGUAGCGUCGCCCUUCUUGAAGCAAUGGUCAUGGCUGUGACUCUGGGACUGCUUGACUGAAUCCUCAUUAGCCCAUGUAAGAACCUGGACCCAACAGGCUGGACCUUGUCCUGAUCUCUCAUCCCUGCUCCAAAUGGAGGCAACUCAUUGACAGCAGAUGGGCCUGCAAUGGGAAAGCCAUCGGGGGUUUCAGCAGAGGACCGCAUGUUCCCAUCUCACUAUGAACUCACCCUGGCUUUCGGCCGGAAUGAAUAGCGAAGAGGAUGUCCAGAGAGACCAGCUGGGAGACGGACACAGGGACCGGAGGAAGAGGAAGGUGAUAGUGAGUAUGGAGAGAGGGAGGUGUUCCCAUUUUCUUUUCUUUUUCUUUUUAGGGCCGAACCUGUGGCAUAAUGGAGGUUCCCAGGCUAGCGGUCAAAUCAAAGCUACAACUGCCAGCCUACACCACAGCCACAGCAACAUGGGAUCCAAGCCACAUCUGCCACCUACACCACAGCUCACGGCAACGCGGGAUCCUUAACCCACUAAGCAAGGCCAGGGAUCGAACCCGCAUCCUCAUGGAUCCUAGUCUGGUUCUUAACCUGCUGAGCCACAAUGGGAACUUCCUUCUUGUUUCCAUUUUUGGUGGAUGGUUAGGGUGAAGAAGAGAGAGGAACCCGAGUUCUGGUCUGAGCACCCAGGUGGAUGUUGCCAUCCACGGAGAAGAGUAAGCAGGAGACAGAGGGAGUGAGUUCAGGGGACUGCUAAGUUCUCCACACGUAGUGGAUUUAGGUGACAAGCAGGAAGCCCAGAGCUCUGGGUCCAGCCCAGAAAUGUCUAUUUGGGAGCCAAGAGUCUAUAAAUGAUAGACCCAGUAAAAGGAUGUGAUCACUGGGGAGAGAGGUGAGAACAGAGAGGAGGACGGCGCCCAGCCUGAGCACGGAGGGCUCCUGUUCCUGCAGGAGGAGUUGUCCGCCAGGUCUGAGAAGGAGCCUCGGGGAGGGGGAAGGGAGCAAGAGAGUGUGUGGUCCUGGAAGCCAAGCCGGGAGGAAGCACCUUCAGUUGGGCUGUGAUUUCCAGGUCCUUGAGGGAGCUGAUGCUAUGCUUCUCUAUACAUCAGCCCCUUCUGGCGAACAAGCCCCGAACUUGCACCUCCUCCUGGCCUCUUCCCAUCCACCCAGCGUCUCAGGGGGAAGGGGAUAAAACCUCGGAAGGCCACCGAAGAAAGAGCUCCCUCCCCCACCUCCCCAGCCUACGCCUACCCUAUUCACUCCGCUGCAAGGAUUCAUUAUAAUUUUUUAGCCACGGAGCAAAGGAAGAGGCGUUAAGCCUGGACUGUUGAGCUGGUUUUGCAAUUACUUUCCCUAUUCUAGCUCCCCUCGGUUCACCCCCACGCUUCUGGGAAAUGCAACUUGUAGAUCCCAGGGCACCUCAGGCGCUCCUGAGCGCACUGAGCAAGCGCAGGACACGUGCACCCCUGGCCGGCCGGCGGAGCUGCCCUCAGGAGGGAAGGUCCAGAUGGUCUUUGGCUCAAGGAGCGCGCUGAUCUCAGCAGCCGAACUGCUUGGGGGCAUUUCACAGGAAAUUGGGGCCAAGGACUAGCAUUUUGUCUUGGCUGCCCCUCAGAGCUGCUCUGGUAGCUUAAUUUAAAAGUGGAAGAUAAAGUGCUUGUGCGUUGGAGAAACCAAGACGAGGGAGCAUAUUUCUUUUCUGUUUAUGACAUCUCGCAGCUGAGCUCCACCUCCGCAGGAUGGAGAGCCCAUGGCCUUUGGAAGGAGAAGGAACUUUGGGGGAAAAAAAAACAGCUGUCGGGAGUCCUAGACCUUCUCACGGGAACAGAGGGAAGGGGACAGACCGGGGCCAGCGCCGCGGAUGACCCGCCCUCACGGAGUCGGUAGAAGGAAGCCCUCGUGGUGGCCAGGCCCCUCUGCAGAGGCCCUCAGCCAUCCUGCGGUAGAAAACUGUCAGCAGAGGUUGACGCUCCAGCAGCGCUUUCUCCACCCUUGUCAGCCCAGCCACACGCGGGAAGCACAAGUGCCCAGGAUCAGGGGACGCAAAACUGCACGUCCCACCUUCUCAUGAGCUAGAGGCCUGGAGAAGGUCAGAGUCUCUUCCUGGGGCACAGAGGAAGGUAAAGGCUGAUGCCGGAGUGCAUGUCAGGGUUUGGAGGCCUGGGUCCCCCUGGCUCUCAGGGCUGACGCAUAAGGCAGGCGAAAGUCAAUGCCACCAAACAGCAGCUCUCUGCAUAGCCCCACUUCUCUCUUCACCUCAGAUGUGCCUGACUGAUGCACCAAAUCCCUUAAGCCCAAAUGCAAGCAGACAAAAGAGCCGGAGCCCUUGCAAGAACAGACCCUGUGUGCCGGAGGAGGAGAGGCAGCCUGGGUGCCAUGGCCCUUACAAGGGCCAGAGCCCCUCGGUCACUUGGUGCCAUCGUAGAAGAGCAGGUGUCCUGCUUCAUCUCUGUGAAGCGGGAGGUAUAAGAAAUAACGGUAUUUAUUUUAAAGCAAAUUCUGUACAUCAGUUUGCUUUCAGAAAAAAAUAACUUCGAUUAGAGCAGAACACCUUUGUCAAAAAGGAAAUAUUGUUCGUCUUGCGGCUUUUCACCAGUGCGUAAUAGGCAUUGUACGUUCACUCAUUCAUUCAUCAAACACCUUUGGGCCCAGACCAAGUGACAGGUGAGAGGGAUACAGAAGUAAAUGUGUCUUCUGCCACUGCCAAUGGGGGAGGGGACUAGCACAAUGUGAAUUAGAGAGUGGAGGUUGGCUCUGGCAAUUCUGAUUGCAAGAAACGCACUGAAAAUAUAAAGACACAGAAU
rnacentral:lncRNA from 1 species